UGAACCUCCCGAAUGGACAACGCCCGGCAGCUGUUAAACAAACAUCUCGUCCCAGUUUGGCCAUAAUGUUGAACAUCGAAAGGGAAAAUGCCGUGAUCCAUUUUCGUUAGAAAAAUAUUGAUAGACGUCUGGAAGUGACGAAAUUAAAUUCUCCGUUCAGGGAACCGAACGAGGAAGUUGCAAUAGACGAAAAAAUCAUGCUGGAGCAUUCGUCAAAAACAGCAAACAGGUGGCUCAGAUUGAGGAGAUAUCCGUCUCCAAGAAUGCCCAACGGGAUGUUAUCAAUUUCAACCGGGUGUUCAACCGAGACGGGUCGGAUCGGUUCGAAGUCAAUGGGGCCCAGCAGACGCACAAAGAAAUGCUAAAUCACAUCCGACAGCUGAAAAUCUACAUCGACAAUCUGUGUCAGUUUCAUCAAAACGAACCCUCGGAAGCUGUUGCUCAUGCAGACUUGAGGCUGAGGGAACAGCAUCUCGAAAAACAGGAAGAGCAGAAGUACGUUGUUGUUUCGUACCUGGACUAUUUGAUCCGACUGAGGACGCAGAAGCCAGAAACCAGGAUACGUGCUCAGAUCAAAAAUAUGCGCAAUCGCAAAACUUUCUCAUUGAUCUAGAAGUUUGUUAUGAGCCAAAAGCCUGGAAGGAGUCGAGAAUAUAUAUCUUGAAUCAAAUUCCACCAAGGAAGAGGAACUCGGAGGAGGAUUUGCUGAGGAAUUCAACCAAAAGUACCUAAACAAAAGCAGAAACGUCUGGACCCGUUGAAGUCAAGUCACAAAAAAACGAGCAUCGGUUUCGCCUCAUAACGUAAUCUGCGGCGAUCGGAAACUCAGUAGAAAUCCCACGAAGAUUUAAUUGUCAAACAUUGCUUAAUUUUCCAGGUUCCUUGUGGUUCCGUGAUUGGGGUUAUAUUGAAAGGCUUUCUGCUGCUUCAGUCCAACUGGAAAUGCUGGUAACGCUCGCUCGCCCGGCUGAAGAUCUUGUUCCAAAAUUUACGCUAGACGAGUCCGUGGCUCCCAAGCUCAACCUGAACGCAGAUUUCUGUCCGCCGGUACAUUUUUUCUUUAAUAAUUUCAGUCGCUUC